CUACCACAGAGAAGACGGUGCGCGCCGGCUAGAGAGGCCCAGCGCCACCAUCAAGAGAGGCCCGAGAGAAGCCUAGAGUGGAACCCCGCCUGGUCGCCUCCGGGAGUGAAAGGGACUCAGUGGCCGGAAUUGGCAAAUGACUCAACGCAAGGCAAUAGUUGCUUCAGACGCUGACUGUUUUCGGCGGACACAACAUCUUUGUUUGUAUGUGGUGCUGAGGAUUGAACCCAGCCGCAUGCAUGCCAGGAUUUUGCAACAUGGGACUCAGAGAAGCUUGAAAACUAUCAACUGCUUUGUUUUUGCCAUUUGAUACAGGAAAAUCAAUAACAACAACCAUGUGAGUUAUACUGAAACUGGAGAGAAGCAGAGAUGACUGUGAAGGGAGUGCAUCCUCCCUGCAUCUCCCAGAAAUUACGUUCUGCUUUUACCUGUAGUGGGUGUGCAGCCAUUUUGUUGUUCUAUUUUUGUGAGACUUCCCAGGAUCCUUAUAAUAAAAUAUUCUUUUCUUUCAAA